rnacentral:piRNA from 1 species
UCCAAGGAAAGCUUACUCUGGGAUGC